rnacentral:lncRNA from 1 species
ACUACAACAAUGCGAGAAUAGAGAGAGAAUGCCUAGUCCUAUCGAAGACUAGCAUCUUCAACGGUCUUGCAACAAUAGACGAGAGUAGAAUAGGUAACACAAUUCAUAUUAAUAUUGUUGCAGCAAUAUUAAUAUGAGGUGACGCCCAGAGAUUCUCGCUCGACUCCCUGCGAGGAAGCAAUCCAAGGGCAAACAAUCCAGUUAAGUAAUAGCUCUAGUUGUAUAAAAUCAGGGUACAACUCCAAGUCGUCCUGUAAC